rnacentral:rRNA from 1 species
AGAGUUUGAUCCUGGCUCAGGACGAACGUUGGCGGUGCGCUUAAUGCAUGCAAGUCGAGGGAGAACCAUUCGAUCCGUAAGGACUGGAUGGGGAAACCGGCGAACGGGUGCGUAACACGUGAGGAACCUGCCCCGAAGACCGGGAUAGCCCGAGGAAACUCGGAUUAAUACCGGAUACCCUCUUUGGACCACAUGGUCCGCUGAGGAAAUGGUCCGCCGCUUCGGGAUGGCCUCGCGGCCUAUCAGCUUGUUGGUGAGGUAACGGCUCACCAAGGCAAAGACGGGUAGCUGGUCUGAGAGGACGAUCAGCCACACUGGGACUGAGACACGGCCCAGACUCCUACGGGAGGCAGCAGCAGGGAAUAUUGCACAAUGGGCGAAAGCCUGAUGCAGCGACACCGCGUGCGGGAUGAAGGCCCUCGGGUUGUAAACCGCUUUCAGGAGGGACGAAAAUGACGGUACCUCCAGAAGAAGGCCCGGCCAACUACGUGCCAGCAGCCGCGGUAAUACGUAGGGGCCAAACGUUGUCCGGAUUUAUUGGGCGUAAAGGGCUCGUAGGCGGUUCAACAAGUCGAUCGUGAAAGCCCGGGGCUCAACCCCGGGACGCCGGUCGAAACUGUUGUGACUAGGGUCCGGUAGAGGUGAGUGGAAUUCUCGGUGUAGCGGUGGAAUGCGCAAAUAUCGAGAGGAACACCAGUU